GACAGAGGGGGCAAGCGUUGCUCGGAAUCACUGGGCGUAAAGGGCGCGUAGGCGGGAUGGCAAGUCGGUCGUGAAAUCCUUCGGCUCAACCGAAGAACGUCGGCCGAUACUGCCGUUCUUGAGGGAUGCAGAGGAGAUUGGAAUUCCCGGUGUAGCGGUGAAAUGUGUAGAGAUCGGGAGGAACACCGGUGGCGAAGGCGGGUCUCUGGGCAUCUCCUGACGCUGAGGCGCGAAAGCGUGGGGAGCAAACGGA
rnacentral:rRNA from 1 species